rnacentral:rRNA from 1 species
GGACCCGCACAAGCGGUGGAGCAUGUGGUUUAAUUCGAAGCAACGCGAAGAACCUUACCAAGUCUUGACAUCCCAAUGACGUGUCCGUAACGGGGCAUUCUCUUCGGAGUAUUGGAGACAGGUGGUGCAUGGUUGUCGUCAGCUCGUGUCGUGAGAUGUUGGGUUAAGUCCCGCAACGAGCGCAACCCUUAUCCUUAGUAGCCAGCAGGUAAAGCUGGGCACUCUAGGGAGACUGCCGGGGAUAACCCGGAGGAAGGCGGGGAUGACGUCAAAUCAUCAUGCCCCUUAUGAUUUGGGCUACACACGUGCUACAAUGGCGUAAACAAAGGGAAGCGAGACAGUGAUGUUGAGCAAAUCCCAGAAAUAACGUCUCAGUUCGGAUUGUAGUCUGCAACUCGACUACAUGAAGCUGGAAUCGCUAGUAAUCGCGAAUCAGCAUGUCGCGGUGAAUACGUUCCCGGGUCUU